rnacentral:rRNA from 1 species
UACGAAGGGUGCAAGCGUUACUCGGAAUUACUGGGCGUAAAGCGUGCGUAGGUGGUUUGUUAAGUCUGAUGUGAAAGCCCUGGGCUCAACCUGGGAACGGCAUUGGAAACUGGCUUACUAGAGUGCGGUAGAGGGGUGUGGAAUUCCCGGUGUAGCAGUGAAAUGCGUAGAGAUCUGGAGGAACACCGAUGGCGAAGGCAGCCCCCUGGGCUAACACUGACGCUCAUGCACGAAAGCGUGGGGAGCAAACAGG